GCAAACUUGGUCAUUUAGAGGAAGUAAAAGUCGUAACAAGGUUUCCGUAGGUGAACCUGCGGAAGGAUCAUUACCAAAACUUAGCUGUCUGGCCGCAAGGUCGUGACGCUUCAACCCUUUGUGAACCAAAAAAAACCUUUCGCUUCGGCAGCUGGACCGGCUGGAAACAGUCGUCCCAUCAGCCUGCCGUUAGCACCAACCUUUAAAACUUGCAGUCAAAAACAUUGUCUGAACACCAAAUUUUCGAAUGAAAAUCAAAACUUUCAACAACGGAUCUCUUGGUUCCCGCAUCGAUGAAGAACGCAGC
rnacentral:misc_RNA from 1 species